rnacentral:lncRNA from 1 species
CCCUAUUUAUUUCCACAGCACCAAAUUCAGAGCAAUCAAGCUUUAAAUUUUUUUUUUGAAACCACAGCUCUUAAAAUAUCCUACAGCUGUACAAGUGCUCUGCAGAGCCAAAUAUCCAAAGCAAUUUUUUAGUGCUUCAAUAAAAUUCUACAGCAAUAAAAUCUAAAGCCACAGCAAAAAGUCUACAGAUUUUUUUCUACAGCAAAAUAUUUAAAGCUACAGCCAUUACCAAUCGGACCCAUAGUUUAGAAAUCUCAACAAUAGAUAAAAAUAACUUUUUUAUUAUCUUAAGAAAAAAUAAAAGAAAAACCUUAACUCACAAUCUUUAAAUCUCCAAAUAUAGGUUAUGUACUUGACAUUUUCUUAUAUAGAGAUUAAUAUUUUCUAAUCCUAUUAGGUAAUAUAUCUAGAUAAGUCCUAAACAUAUUAUGAAUCAUAAUUUUCAUAACUCGUUAGGAUUAAGUCAUUGACUUAUUUUUUAAGUUUACUUUUCUUUCGAGCUUAAUCCAACAUUCUCCCCCUUAAACUUGAAAUCCAUUUUCGACAAAUCUUCGAUAUGAACGAGACCUCUCAUCUCUUUGAACUUCAUUCUCCAAAGUGCUUUUGUCAAAGUGUCGACUUUCUAUUCACUCUCGGUAUAUGAUGUAGCUCGAUCAAAUCAUACUCAACAUGCUCUCGUAUGAGGUGAUAUAAAAUCUGCUUCACGGCUUCAGUCUAUGCCAUGUUCUCAGCUUCACAUAACGAUUACUCAACAGUUUAUUGUUUGCUCGAACACCGCAACAUCAACAUAAAAGAUAUUUCCUGCCACGCUCUUGCCAUCAACCGGGUCAACUUUAUGACCACUUUCUCCAACAAUCAUUUUCUCUGAAACUACAUGCAUCUUUAUUGCAGUUCCAUGAGAUUCUUUGGAUCUUUUCAUAUCUCGACUUAACACCUUACGUAUAUCAAACUUUGUUGCAAUCUCGAAAAUC